GUGAUUGUGCAUUUUAUAUGAUAAGUAUAUACAACUGCGUUAUGCUGAAAUUGCUUGUGAACUAAAAGGGAUUUUUUGUAAACCUUGAUAUCCUCCAAUACGAGGGAAUAUUGUUAUUGGGAAACUUAGCCUGUAAGGUUGGGUGUUACUACAUCCUAGAUAAUAGAAUGCUAAGGCCCGCCUCUUAGCUGUUCACGCUAGAUAGGGAGAUGGGAAGUGAUACCAGUGGUAACUGAAUCAUCGUAGCAGUAUAUUGAUACUUACUUUAUGUUACGGGUGUAAACUACUAACAGUGUGGAAUACCACAAGAGAGUCUAAUUCGAAGGGCAUGCUCAAGCUAACGUGCCAUUCCAUUGCACUAGUCACGGGGAACCUGGAGCCUAUCCCAGGAAGCAUCGGGCACAAGGAAACCGGAGUACCCGGAGGAAACCCCCGCAUCAUGGGGAGAACAUGCAAAUCCGUGCACACAGAGCUGCGGGAAUCGAACCCCGACCCUGGCGGUGUGAGGCGAACGUGCUAACCAUAAAAUAUGCACAUGUAAUACAUUUAACUUGUAACAUGUAAAAUAACUCCCAUUAAUCAAACAUGUAAUUUACAUUCAUAUAACCAAUCAAAUAUUUUGAAUAAAAUG
ensembl:lncRNA